UUGUUUGCUCAUUCUUUGUUUGAUACAGCCGGCCGCCAUCGCCACCAUCGUCAUCCGACAACAGCAACAACGGCCAGCACAACAUGACAAGAAAGCGUGGAUGCACAGCACCACCGAGCGUGUCGGUGGGAGCGCCAAUGUGUGCUGUUGCUGCUGUUGCUCCAGCGCAAGAGAGCAUCGUGCAAGAAAGCAGUCUUGCAAAAAGUCUGCAAUAGAGCAUCGUGCAAGAAAACUCUUGCAAGAACAACAGCUGCAACAGCCACCUGUGUAUUUGUAAUGAUCCUUCCGCAGGUUCACCUACGGAAA
rnacentral:misc_RNA from 1 species